AAAAAUUGCUGAAUUAUAGAUCAGCAACAUAUAUUGAUUCAUAACAGGAGUAGACUAUUUAUGUCUCUUAUUUUGAAAAAUAAAUCAGAUAUUAUUAUUAAAUACGGUAGAAAUGCU
rfam:Candidatus Ishikawaella capsulata Mpkobe DNA, complete genome.